GAAGCUUUGCCUGAGAUCCAACCUGAGCCUGCCCUGACACAGCUCCAGCCAUUCCCUGGAUCCUGUCCCUGCUCACACCGAGCAGAGGUCGGAGCUGCCGCUCAUGACGAUGUUGAGGACCCCAAUGGGGACUGACCUCAGUCUUUUCUCCAGCUGAAGAAACCAAGUGACCUCAGCUGAAACACAGAAUCUAUGAUUCUCUGAGUCUUUAUGACAAACAGGUGACCCUGAGCACCAAAUUCCAUGGGAGCUCCUGGUCCCCUUCCGUGCUUGUGGUAGAGGACUGGAACCUCCUCCACACAAUAUUCUUCCCUGUUGGUUGCAUGGCAGGUGAAAGAGAGAAACUCUGUCUCAUCCUUCUCAUCACAUGCUGAUCUGGAGGGGGAAGAACUGGAAGAGCUGCUCCAUCGCUGCUGUUGAGCUGUGAGAGGGGCCAGUUUGUGCUGCAGCUGCUCCAGGUUGGGAUGUCAUCUCUGUCCCUCUGCUUCCGCUGUGGGAGGUGUCUGCUGAGGAGCUGAGAGCCAAUCCAUCACAUGGCAGUGGCAGCAGGAGCUGACAGCACGAAGCAUGGACAGCAAAGAAAACCAUGUCCAGCCUUUAUUAAUAAUUUUCCUCAGAUGAAGGAGAACUAAUAUGCUGUUGGUAAUAUCCACACUGCUUUUGUCCUACAAAGAUUUGCCAUUUUACCACUGAGUGAAGCCUGAAAAAGUGUUUCAUUUGCUAUUGCACUCACCAAAAUCUAUAUUAAUGAUUACUGAUA